AUACGGAGGAUCCAAGCGUUAUCCGGAAUCAUUGGGUUUAAAGGGUCCGUAGGCGGUUUAAUAAGUCAGUGGUGAAAGCCCAUCGCUCAACGGUGGAACGGCCAUUGAUACUGUUAGACUUGAAUUAUUAGGAAGUAACUAGAAUAUGUAGUGUAGCGGUGAAAUGCUUAGAGAUUACAUGGAAUACCAAUUGCGAAGGCAGGUUACUACUAAUGGAUUGACGCUGAUGGACGAAAGCGUGGGUAGCGAACAGGAUUAGAUACCCUGGUAGUCCACGCCGUAAACGAUGGAUACUAGCUGUUGGAAGCAAUUUCAGUGGCUAAGCGAAAGUGAUAAGUAUCCCACCUGGGGAGUACGUUCGCAAGAAUGAA
rnacentral:rRNA from 1 species